UACGUAGGGGGGCAAGCGUUGUCCGGAUUCAUUGGGCGUAAAGAGCGUGUAGGCGGUCCGGUAAGUCGGCUGUGAAAGUCCAGGGCUCAACCCUGGGAUGCCGGUCGAUACUGCCGGACUAGAGUUCGGAAGAGGCGAGUGGAAUUCCCCGGUGUAGCGGUGAAAAUGCGCAGAUAUCGGGAGGAACACCUAUGGCGAAGGCAGCUCGCUGGGGACGUU
rnacentral:rRNA from 1 species